rnacentral:rRNA from 1 species
CCUACGGGUGGCAGCAGUGGGGGAUAUUGGUCAAUGGGCGCGAGCCUGAACCAGCCACGUAGCGUGAAGGAUGACUGCCCUACGGGUUGUAAACUUCUUUUAUAAAGGAAUAAAACGAGGCAUGUGUGCCUUUUUGCAUGUACUUUAUGAAUAAGGAUCGGCUAACUCCGUGCCAGCAGCCGCGGCAAUAGGGAGGUUUCGGGCGUUAUACGGAUUUAUUGGGUUUAAAGGGAGCGUAGAUGGGUUGUUAAGUCGGUUGUGAAAGUUUGGGGCUCAACCGUAAAAUUGCAAUUGAUACUGGCAGUCUUGAGUACAGUUGAGGUAAGCGGAAUUCGUGGUGUAGCGGUGAAAUGCUUAGAUAUCACGAAGAACCCCGAUUGCGAAGGCAGCUUACUAAACUGUGACUGACAUUGAUGGUCGAAAGUGUGGGUAUCAACAGGAUUAGAUACCCGUGUAGUC